AUUGAACGCUGGCGGCAUGCCUUACACAUGCAAGUCGAACGGCAGCACGGGUGCUUGCACCUGGUGGCGAGUGGCGAACGGGUGAGUAAUACAUCGGAACAUGUCCUGUAGUGGGGGAUAGCCCGGCGAAAGCCGGAUUAAUACCGCAUACGAUCUACGGAUGAAAGCGGGGGACCUUCGGGCCUCGCGCUAUAGGGUUGGCCGAUGGCUGAUUAGCUAGUUGGUGGGGUAAAGGCCUACCAAGGCGACGAUCAGUAGCUGGUCUGAGAGGACGACCAGCGACACUGGGACUGAGACACGGCCCAGACUCCUACGGGAGGCAGCAGUGGGGAAUUUUGGACAAUGGGCGAAAGCCUGAUCCAGCAAUGCCGCGUGUGUGAAGAAGGCCUUCGGGUUGUAAAGCACUUUUGUCCGGAAAGAAAUCCUUGGCCCUAAUACGGUCGGGGGAUGACGGUACCGGAAGAAUAAGCACCGGCUAACUACGUG
rnacentral:rRNA from 1 species